rnacentral:misc_RNA from 1 species
AUGAGACCCAAUGCAAUCUGGUACCGUAGUGUAGUAUAAAAACACACGAAUGAAAAGCAAACUCUCAGCAGCACAGGUCACAAGCACAACCCUAGAGCUUUGUCUUGAAAAAAAUGGAACAUAUCCAAAUUCCUGAGGCUAAGGAUUUGAUGGUGAUAGCAAGUACACCCUUCUUCUCAGGCAAAUUCCUAAAGCAUCAUAAUUUUCCAUGGGAAAAUGCAAACUAUUCAGCAGUGCUUAGUUCAAACAGAAAGUAUAUCGAAAUGGUUACAUCAAUCAUUAGUAGAUUGACCAAGAAUCUUACUGAUAAUGAUCGAGAGGUGGGUGAGCAGACACUAAACAAGAUUUUUAUUAAGCAAAAGCGUACAGCAGACUAUUCCACAGGCAACUGAAUAUGUACUAUUGUACAAGGCUAAACUAAGACAAUAAUUUAUCCCCUUCAGAUGCACUUUUCAUGUUCCCUAUCCGAUGCAAGUAAGUUUCUGCUUCUCAUACUUCCAAAGAACCAAGCAGAGCAAAUCCUUUACUGAAGAAUACAGGUCACUUCUGAAAGAACCAAUACGCCAAGACAAAUUUUGGAAGCACAGUUCAAUGCUGCUUCUUCCCUGUUGCUCCUUCCCAGGCUUGUAAAAUAUGGUUCACAAUUUCCUCUACACCAAGUCCAUGCUUAAUCUGAGCAAAGACAAAUGGCCCACCAUCCCGAAUUCUAAGUGCAUCACGCUCCAUGACUGCCAAGUCAGCUCCAACUGCCGGUGCAAGGUCAGUCUUAUUUAUAACAAGAAGAUCCGCUUGGGUAAUGCCAGGGCCACCCUUCCGAGGAAUUUUAUCACCACCAGAUACAUCUAUUAUAUAUAUGAUAUAGUCAGCCAAUUCCCUGCUAAAGUUGGCAGCUAAAUUAUCUCCACCGGAUUCACAAAGUAGUAAGUCUGCUUUGAAUAAUUUGGAAAGCUCCUCAAGAGGGCCAAGGUUAAUGCUGAUAUCUUCACGAAUUGCAGCAUGAGGACAGCCUCCAGUUUCCACAGCUCGUAUCCUUUCUUCAGGUAGUGCUCCAUGCUUAAUCAAGAAUUCACCAUCCUCCUUUGUGAAUAUAUCAUUAGUCACUGCAGCAAGACUGUACUUGUCCCGCAAGAAUUUGCAUAUAGCCAACAUUAAAGCGGUUUUCCUGCACAGUGUAAAAUAGCAUUUCAUCAGAAUGGGUUAUUGAGAUUUAGGGCAAUAAUGCAGAUUACGAAAUAGACAAGGGAAUUCUGCAAGAAAAACCUGGAGGAGGAAAAGCGGAAACAAGGCAUAAAGUACACAUUCCUGUAAUUCCUUAAAUUUAUCCAUGAUCAUGAGUUGUUGUGUCAUUGUUAAGAAAAAAAAAUGUCAAACAAAAAGCUAGAAAUUCCUAAUCUUGGGACAACACAUUAGAACCUGAAAAAUUAGAAAAUCUCUUCAUUGAAUUGAAUGAACAUAAUGAAAGAAGCGGUUUGCAAACUAGCAACAUGAAUUAAAUACUUUCCAAAAGAAGAACAAUUGCAGACAAUACAAUGAUGUAACCGAUAACAUCAGUAGCAUUGCAAUAUGAAGCAGAAGAGAAAAGGGAAAUUGAAAAAGGAGAAACCUACCCAGUACCAACAGGACCACCAAUACCAACAGUGAAAGCUCUUUCAUUGAAAUCCCUAGUGAGGAUUGGUGGAGCUCUUCUGCUGAAGUAGCCAGGAGAGUAAAUGGGUUCAUGAGAGUGAGGCGCUAACCCAUCGUGGCUGUGAUACACUCUUCCUUCUGGGCCUACCCACGACGUCGUUUGAUCAUGGGUAUGGUGAUGGUGGUCAUUGUCAUGAUCGUGGUGAUGGUAGUCGUGGGUAUGGUGACCGUGCGAAGCCAUUAACUCUAGUCCGCAAAGGUUUUGCUCAAUCGAGUGGAUCACCUUGGUAGCUGGUGAGCACAUGUAGAAGAUAAGGAUGAUUCAAGCUCAGUCACAAUGACAAAUAUACCCCUGAUUUCGAGCUUGAUCAGAUUCUUGUUUUCCUCGGACUGAUUAGAG